rnacentral:rRNA from 1 species
AAAAGCGGAGGAAAAGAAAAUAACCAUGAUUCCCUUAGUAACGGCGAGUGAACAGGGAAAAGCCCAAAUUUGUAAUCUGGCACUUUUUACAAGUGUCCGAGUUGUAAUUUGUAGAACUGUUAUCCGUGCUGGACCAUGUACAAGUCUGUUGAAAAGCAGCAUCAUUGAAGGUGAAAAUCCUGUAGAUGAUAUGGACUACCAGUGCAUUUGUGAUACGGUUUCUAAGAGUCGAGUUGUUUGGGAAUGCAGCUCAAAGUGGGUGGUAAAUUCCAUCUAAGGCUAAAUAUAAGUGAGAGACCGAUAGCAAACAAGUACCGUGAGGGAAAGAUGAAAAGAACUUUGAAAAUAGAGUUAACAGUACGUGAAAUUGCUGAAAGGGAAACGUUUGAAGUUAGUUUUGUAUUCGUUGGAUCAGCUUCGCAAGGAGUGUAUUCUGAUGAUAAGCAAGUCAACAUCAAUCUAUGAGUGUCGGAGAAGGGUUUUGAGAAUGUAGCAAUUUUUAUUAAUUGUGUUAUAGCUUGAGACUUGGAUACGAUGCUUUGGAUUGAGGAACGCGUAGUAAGCUUUGAGCGGAUUCGAAAGGAUCUCCUUACUAUGGAUGUUG